AGCAGCCGCGGUAAUUCCAGCUCCAAUAGCGUAUAUUAAAGUUGUUGCAGUUAAAAAGCUCGUAGUUGAAUUUCGGGAUCAAUAUGUCGGUCGUGCCUUCGGUACGUACUGGCAUCAUUGAUUUCUCCCUUCUGACGAACCACGAUGUCAUUAAUUUGGUGUCAUGGGGAGUCAGGACUGUUACUUUGAAAAAUUAGAGUGUUUAAAGCAGGCUCACGCUUGAAUACAUUAGCAUGGAAUAAUGAAAUAGGACGUUUGACCCUAUUUUGUUGGUUUCUAGGAUCAACGUAAUGAUUAAUAGGGAUAGUUGGGGGCAUUAGUAUUCAAUUGUCAGAGGUGAAAUUCUUGGAUUUAUUGAAGACUAACUACUGCGAAAGCAUUUGCCAAGGAUGUUUUCAUUAAUCAAGAACGAAAGUUAGGGGAUCGAAGACGAUCAGAUACCGUCGUAGUCUUAACCAUAAAACUAUGCCGACUAGGGAUCGGGAUGAUGUUUAAUUUUUUAAUGACUCAUUC
rnacentral:rRNA from 1 species